GGCGAACGGGUGAGUAACACGUGGGUAAUCUGCCCUGCACUCUGGGAUAAGCCUGGGAAACUGGGUCUAAUACUGGAUAUGACCUUUCUCCUUAUGGGGUUUGGUGGAAAGUUUUCGGUGUAGGAUGAGCCCGCGGCCUAUCAGCUUGUUGGUGGGGUGAUGGCCUACCAAGGCGAUGACGGGUAGCCGGCCUGAGAGGGUGAUCGGCCACAUAGGGACUGAGAUACGGCCCAG
rnacentral:rRNA from 1 species